UUAGACAGAUUUGUGAACAAUAUUUGAGCGGAAUAGGCCUUUUGUGUACGUAGAAAAUGUCUUAGAUCUAUGAUCAGCUCAUAAAAAAUGA